UGAACAAACAGAACAGGAGCUGUGUUUCCGGGCUAGUUACUGAGCAAAUUCCUGUGAGAGCCCCCGAUGACUGUAAAAACCACCCCCUGAUAUGUAUAAUGUUCCAGACUGCAACAUGCUCAUGAAGGGAUCCAGGAAAAGACCACAUGUUGCUAAAGGACCUCAUUGGCUUGAAGAUGAAGGAAGCGGCACACCAAUAGGAUUGCAAUCUCUAAGCUAUCAUCACUAAGAGUGUUGAUGUGUUGUAACACCAAGAGAGAAUGGGGCCGAGAUACAGACAUCGGGAGACUCAUCUAAUAAGGGCUGUGCUAGAACUGCCUUUGUCUUUCUGUGAAAUGACUCACACUUAGGAUAUCAGGAAAAGUUCUUCUGAAGGCAGAAAUAUAGUACACCUCUGAAGAAGAAAAGACUACACCACAACUUUCAUUGCACACUGAAAGAAAGCCCAUCAAACACUCGAGAUAAAAUUAUAAUAUGUGAACAGAGAUCUUCAUCUCCUAUCCCAGAAAAACCAGAUAGCUCCUACCAUGGAGGCCACUGAUGUAAAUGACCUUAACCAAGGAAUCUAAAAGGCCACUUGUCCCCAAUACAACUGAAAGCCUUAGAGGUGCUGGUCUUCUGCAAUGAUCCAGACUUGAUCGUAUUUCCUCCCAUUUGAUAUCUCCAGGAUUUGGGCCUUGGGGAGUUCUAUGUCCUGCCUCCCAGACCCAUGUGUUUUAUGCUCUCCUCUUUAAAAUGAAGAUAGAUGACCUCUCCACCAAAUCAUGCUCUGAUAAAAUGGAGACCAACAGGUACUAAGACGUAUUAGUAUUUUGAUGAGACGUCUUACUAGGAUGUUAACAAAUAGAUUAAAGGUAUUUUGGACAAGAAAUGUGCAUCUCUGAAACAGGUUUUGUGAUAACAACACAUAUUCUAAGCACUUGCCUUCUGUGGGGUCAGGAGGACCCACCCGCUCAUAUUCUAAAUGAGGAGCAUAUCCACUACAGGAUAUCUAAAUAGAGACCCAAGAUUAUGGUGCUUUCUAAGGCAAAGCAGUGAGGAAAAACAUCCCAACUAAAAAGGCAGUUUACCCUGUAAACAGUAAUUUUCAAUUGACAUUUGACUUCAGAUAAGUUGAAACAUCUGAGCCCAAAUCCCACACCAAAUUAAAACACACAUAUAAACCACCCCCUUGGGGCUGUGACCCUUUCAGAGAUGGAGUGCUCGCACCAGCAUUCUUUGAAACAACCCAGGGAGC
rnacentral:lncRNA from 1 species